CCUACGGGUGGCAGCAGUGGGGAAUUUUGCGCAAUGCGCGUAAGCGUGACGCAGCGACGCCGCGUGAAUGACGAAGGCCUUCGGGUCGUAAAGUUCUUUCGGCAUGGAAGAAAAUGCCUAUAAGUAACUGUGUAUGUAUUGACGGUACCUGUAUAAGCAGCCCCGGCUAACUCCGUGCCAGCAGCCGCGGUAAUACGGAGGGGGCGAGCGUUGUUCGGAGUGACUGGGCGUAAAGAGCACGUAGGCGGUGGUGUAAGUCAUUAGUCAAAGACUAGAGCUUAACCUGGGUAAGGCAUGUGAUACUAGAAAGCUAGAGUAUCAGAGGGGAUGGCAGAAUCCCAUGUGUAGCGGUGAAAUGCGUAGAUAUGAGGAGGAAUACCGAUGGCGAAGGCGGCAAUCUGGCUGGAAACUGACGCUGAGGUGCGAAAGCGUGGGUAGCAAACAGGAUUAGAUACCCGUGUAGUC
rnacentral:rRNA from 1 species